rnacentral:lncRNA from 1 species
CUCGAACUCGUCGAAGUCCUGGAACUCCUGGAGAUCCGCCUCGACACCCUCUUCUUCUUCUUUACCUGAGCAUAGAUUGCACCAAAGGCAACCUGGUGUUUUGUGAAAGCAAGGGUGAGUACACGUCAACAUACUCAGCAAAUGUCCCGUUUGGCUGUAGUGGACUAGCUUUAUGUGCGGUUAAGUCAAGCAGUUGCUUUUAGUUGGUCAGGUUAUUAUUACUAGUAGAAAGCCAGGUUUUAGCAUUAACCCAAGUUCUUAACCCAAAGUACCCUUUCCAAACGGAAAAAAUAUCACUUUCCAUUACCAUAAUCAUAAUCAAAAACCAUCAUCCUCAUCACCACCUGUAAACCAACCAUCUCUGAUCAAAGUGUCUCUAAUCAAUGGAGCUCCCUUGGCCGCUCAUAACCGCGAGCACGGCUGAUAUAUCAGUUUCAUAACACUCUACAGAGGUUGCGCACUUUACGCACAAGUCGUGAUUCCCUCUCUAGCCCGGGCUUGCAAGACCCUUAUUCACUCCCAAGGUGAAUGGCCAAGGAUUCACUACGAAGCCUUUACAAAGAUUCCCUGAGGCUGUAGCCGCCCGUUAGGUUUCCUAAAUGCACCGCACUCCUCCCCAAGGGGCGAACAAACCUUGGCAGAGCGAGCCGCAUACACCGAGCCCCAUUAACGGCACGACGGCGAAGCGAACUACACCCCAGUUCCUCUAAUUAUUCAGCUAAGAGCGUCCCAUUCCACCCUCAUGGUUGCACUGUUUUCUCGGGCGGUCAUCCAACGAACCAGUCCUUACGGAGAGGCACUCGAGAAACAGCUCAAGUCCCCUUAAAUGCCACAAGUAAAUCAUCAUAUCCAGAAUAAAACCACAGUAUCAUCAUUGUAUCUCAUCAUGUUCAUUGAUUGAAGUAAAGCGCUAGCAUGAAGCUAAUCAUAGUAACCCAAAAGGUAAUCAAGGACAAGGUAAAUAGAAAGCUAGUCAAUCCUUAUGUUGUUCAUAGUAUGCGGGACAAUGAAUUAUACAGUAAAUGGGACAUAAUGGGUCAGAGGAACCCGAAGAGUUUGAUCUCUUGGUCGCCGAAGUUUGACCGUCAAUUCCUCGAAGCUCGGAAAUGGAUCGCGGUCUAUUCGUGACGCGCAACAAAUACAAACAAACACAAGCAAACAUAUACUUGCAUAAGAACAUUACACCAUAUAAGAUAAAAUAUUAUAAAAGCGAGAAAUAUAAAAUAGAGAGUGCUUCUACGGUUACGUGAGGAAAAGAAACGCGAGAGUCGGAGCUACGGUCGAGGGGUUAGCGCGUUUACACUAAGCAAGUAUUAAUUAGAAUAUUUAAUUCGGCGUAACUAUAUCAAUCGCUAUUUAUGAAAUAUAAAUUAAAACUACUUGGUUUUGACUAAUUUACUAUUUUUAAUUAUGUAUAAUUAAGUAAAUAACUAAUUAACUGACAUGAGUGAUUAUAAGCGAACGAUUUAAUCUCACACGCGAUACACGCGAACGCGAGCAACAACGCGUUCGGACAGCACGCGCGGCACUCGCGAACGACGCGCGCGAAAAAGCACGCGCAACACGUGCGGACGACACGUGACAACGAGAUAAUCGCUAACAAAUAAUGUGAUUAAAAUAAACAAGUAUUAAAUGAAAAACGUUUAAGUUAACAUUAAUCAGAUUAACAUGUAUUUAUAAGAGCGCAAGUUUAAAAAAACUAUAAUUUAGAUUUAUCAGAAUUUUAUUUUAAUCACCAUCGGACAAACAAGUAAUUAAUUAAUUAAUUAAACUUAUGUCGUGAUAAAAUAAUAUUAUAACAUGUAGGCGACAUUAUUAUUAAAUUAACGUGACGUGAACCAUACAAAACAGAUUUAUAACUCAAGUAUAACACGUAUUGUAAUUCCCAGAUUUAAAGCGACGUGGCGUGGUAUGACUACCCGGAGCUAAACCACAUGAAGAGACACACGAGGAGCUACCACAAAUAGUUCAGGAUCCAUUAUGAGUGGAGUGGUUAUUGCAUGCAGGCAAUGGAGGACUAGCUAUGCGCCUAUGCCGCAUCCUGCAGCACGCCAUCCAGGUGGGGCCAUGCGGUUUGCAUGCAACCUUGAAUUUUGGCGUGGUAGUGAGCAAUGGACAUGCAUGUGGGUGGGCCCACAAGCGGUUUUCCACCAAUUAGCAGCCAAAUGAACACACGCUACAUGCUGCAUCGGAGGUGGAACUGGAAGUAGUUUUUCCUCCCCUUCCCUACGACACGAACGACAGGGGAAAACGGAUCGCCCUUGCCAGAGCGGGCAUGACGCCGGUGGUGGCCGUGGCCGGACUUCAACAGGAGCGCGGGGAAGCGGUCAAGAUGCGGCUGGCAGGUAGCUGUGGCACGUGACCAUGGUGGGCAGAUGCAACAGGCCAGCGGCCGAGCUCGUCGGCCAGGGACCACGCCGGGGCCAUGGCGGGGCGGCUGCGAUGGCUAGGCGCUCGAUGCAUGGGAGGGAGGAAGGAGGAGAAGGGCUCACCCGCGGGAUGGAGCUCCGGGGACGGACGACGAUUCCGGACGGGUGACGCGGCUCCAGGCAGCGGCGCUGCUGCACGGGCGGGCUGCGCGGACAGGGGGCUCCGGCGAACGGCGCAACUCUAGUGUGGCAUGACAUGUCUUGGGGUGGUAUCUCCAUACGCGAGCUCCUACACACAUGCUGCUACAUGGCUCGAGGCGAGAGGUGGCGUGAGGGAGAGGAUCUAGGCGAGUAUGGCAAGGAGAGGCACUGAGAGUUUUCUCAACUGGGGUCGGCAUGGG